rnacentral:misc_RNA from 1 species
UUUCCGUAGGUGAACCUGCGGAAGGAUCAUUAUUGAAAUAAAAACUUGGUUGGGGGUUGCUGCUGGCUCUCAGGAGCAUGUGCACACUCGCUCCAUUUUUUAAUACCACCUGUGCACACACUGUAGGCCUGAAUGAACUUUUUCGAGGUUUAAAAACUUUGGUUUGAGAACUGCCCUUGGGCUGUUCUUGUGUUCCCAGGUCUAUGUUUUAAACAAUACACUCCAUAACAAGUAAUAGAAUGUCAAAUUAUGGGCCUUUUGUGCCUUUAAACCUAAUACAACUUUCAACAACGGAUCUCUUGGCUCUC